AUUGAACGCUGGCGGCAGGCCUAACACAUGCAAGUCGAGCGAGCGGCGGACGGGUGAGUACUGUAUGGGGACUGCCCGAUAGAGGGGGAUAACUACUGGAAACGGUAGCUAAUACCGCAUACUAUCGGAUAACCCAUAUGGGAUUAGCUAGUAGGUGAGGAAAUGGCUCACCUAGGCGACGAUCCCUAGCUGGUCUGAGAGGAUGAUCAGCCACGCUGGGGCUAGGACAAGGCCCAGACUCCUACGGAGGAAGCAGUGGGGAAUAUUGCGCAAUGGACGCAAGCCUGAUGCAGCCAUGCCGCGGGUAUGAAGAAGGCCCUAGGGUUGUAAAGUACUUUCAGUCGAGAGGCGUUACCGACAGAAGAAGCACCGGCUAACUCCGUGCCAGCAGCGGCGGUAAUAC
rnacentral:rRNA from 1 species